CUGAUGCUCAAAAUAGCUGCUUAUAUCAGAGUGCUGGUGCAUCCCAGCUAUCAGAAACGCGGAUGUUUGCUUGCUGAACCGUUUGGAAAAGUGCAGAACAGGAUAAAGUAAAUGCGUAGUAAUCAAUUCCAUUGGAUAAGAAUGGUUUGGUUACAUCUAUUUGUCGUUGUGGUGACGUUGACGAUACCAACCUGUGUGGGCGACAGGCUUGCUAGAAUGGAGCGGCAAAUUCAACUAUGGAAAGGCUUCCAGUACUACGUUCAGCUGAGAUUGGACACAAUUGAAAGAGAUUUUGGUGCAUUAUCUCAAAGAGUAUCAAAUCUUGAAUCACUAGUGAAAUCCUCCAAUAACAACACUGGAGGGACUGACAAUCCAACGAUUGGGCAUACUAAAGGGACAAUAAAUACACAAUCUGCUUUUAACGGUAUCAAAACUACUCUCCAAAUGUAUAGACAUUCGUUUCAAAAACAAAAACAAGAACUCGUCAAUGUCAAUUAUGAUGUCAAAGACACCUUGUCGGCAUUUCUGUCAAACGCUUCUAAAACUGUUGACACAUUAGUCAACACUUUAAGUGACCAUGUCAUAAACAGCGCAAAAAAAUGUAUCAGCUUCUUUGGAAAAGAACGUCUAUGCAACACGAGCACAUGUCCAAAACGAAACGAUUCAGCUAGAAAAGAAAGUUGAAGAGCUAAUAUGCAGAGCAAAUGAAAUUGUUGGCAUCAUUGAUGAGCAGAGAUCUACAAUAGAAGACGGCAUUAUGGUCACCAUCAGGGCGCUUCACAUUUCCUGGAGUGACUGGUCUGCAUGGUCCGACUGUUCUCAGUCAUGUGACAAGGGAAGACGAAGUAGACAGAGGUCAUGCUAUGUACCUCCCCCUUUUACUGAUGGCAUUUGUAUUGGUGAUGAUACAGAAACAGAGGACUGCGUCAUUCGCGAGGUUUGUCCAUUGGAUGGUCAAUGGGCUUUGUGGUCGACAUAAAGCACCUGUUUUGUGUCCUGUGGUGACGGCGUGGAGACCAGAAACCGAUCCUGCUCCGAUCCAAGACCUGCUUAUGGCGGGAUGGUGUGCCCGGGACAAGACAUUGAAAAAAAACAAUGUAACUUGCAGCAGUCUGUCAAAUAUGACUGCAGUGAUGUGCUGAAACGGGGUUUGUCACGUGGUUCGGGUGUGUACAGAAUCACGCCCUGGAACACGGACAAGAAAGUGGAUGUUUACUGCGAUAUGGAUACAGAUGGUGGUGUUUCAAAGACGAGUUGAUGGGUCUGUUGAAUUCAACAGGGGUUUUGUAAAGUACGAAUAGGGUUUUGGCUCACUGGAUGGUGAAUUUUGGAUGGGUCUGGAUCUUCUUUACUCCAUUGCAAGCCGGGCUAAGAUGACCUUACGUAUAGACUUGCGGUUAUUAGACGGAACUACGGGAUUCGACGAGUACUCGGGGUUUUAUAUUUCUCCACCAGAACAAUACAACUUCAACGUUGAUAGGAGGAUUAACUCAGCAGGAAUGUCCGGUUCCUAUCUUCUCUCCGAUAUCGGUGAUUAUAGGGAUAUCAACCACCAACCGUUUUCAACAUAUGAUAGUGACGUGGACAAGUGGUUGUAUGGUAACUGUGCCCGAUACUAUGGAGGAGGCUGGUGGUACAAUAGGUGCGCGCACAGUUACCUGAAUGAACAGUACAAUACUGGCGGGUAUUACUAUUCCUUCCAACGGUACACAACGUUGAAGACGUCAACUAUGAUGCUACGAUUGAGUAAUUAAGAUUUAACUGGAGUAUUUAAUGCAUUUAGUUAUGUUUUGUAAAUUUAUCCAAAAAAGUGUUGCGGAUAAAUUAACUUGAUGCUAUGUUUUAAACACAAUAAACUAGUUUAAGCAUUUAAGGUAAACAUACCCGCCUUUUCCUAAUGCUAUGAAAUGUACAAUUUAAUUUCUAACUCAAACAUGUUUGUGUUUUGUGAAGUUAGUGAUUAGUUCAACCCAUUGACACAUUAUUAGAGAACUAUUUCCUUGACAGCAAAAGGCAACACGCGGGUAAAUUAUUUGAAUUAGUGGUCUCAAGGUGGAUAUUACUUUGCAUCGUUUUUUAUUAUUUUGGUAGACUUGUUUUAGUAAGCAUUUAUCACAAUUCAUCGGCAGAAUGUUUCUGUUUAUCAGUUUAAUAUCAAAUUGUCUAGGAUAUAGACGAUCUCGCUUUAGUGGUCAUUUAAUACGAAAUAGUAAAAACAUAUUAUAUAUAUCGUAUUGUAUGACCACGAAGUGGGAUUAUAGUUACAGCAUUAAUACUUAUUUGCCAUUUUACAGCGCUAAAACACAACCAUUUUCAACAGUAUCAUUUUAUUUCGUUACAUCACUCGCUUUGGAUAUUUAUUCCACUAUUUGUGUAUCAAAAGUUUAAUAUGAGUCUUUUUUAGGAAUGCAUUGUGGGAUUAAUGUCAUUAUCGGGGUAUAAACGCAGUUCGGCUGAUUAAAGUAUGUGGAGUCCGAACAUGACAUCUUUUCACGCAAUUCAUUUCUUAUAUUAACACCAAUAGUUCAUUAUAUCUAUCAAGAACUGUUGAGAAAUACUUCUUAUUUAAGAAAAUCUGAACGUAAUUAUUGCUCACCUAUUCUGUUAAUAGACCGACUCGACCGCAACCGGAAACAGUUUAUCAUAUUACGUCACAAUAGCUUCCAAAAUAUAUUUUUAACGUCAAAAUUGAAACGCUAAUGCAUUUUCCAUUUCAUAAAUUAACACUUCCUGACAUGUUGAUUUAGGUUGUUUUGUGGCCUGGUGGCCCAUUAAUAACAAUAACAAGAUAAACACUUCCUGACAUGUUGGUUUAAGUUGUUUUGUGGCCUGGUGGUCCAUUAAUAACAAUAACAAGAUAAACACUUCCUGACAUGUUGGUUUAAGUUGUUUUGUGGCCUGGUGGCCCAUUAAUAACAAUAACAAGAUAAACACUUCUUGACAUGUUGAUUUAUGUUGUUUUGUGGUCUGGUGGUCCAUUAAUAACAAUAACAAGAUAAACACUUUCUUACAUGUUGAUUUAAGUUGUUUUGUGGCCUGGUGGCCCAUUAAUAACAAUAACAAGAUAAACACUUCCUGACAAGUUCAUUUAAGUUGUUUUGUGGCCUGGUGGCCAAUUAGUAACAAUAACAAGAUAAACACUUCCUUACAUGUUGAUUUAAGCUGUUUUGUGGCCUGGUGGCCCAUUAAUAACAAUAACAAGAUAAACACUUCCUGACAUGUUGAUUUAAGUUGUUUUGUGGCCUGGUGGCCCAUUAAUAACAAGAACAAGAUAAACACUUCCUUACAUGUUGAUUUAAGUUGUUUUGUGGCCUGGUGGCCCAUUAAU